CCUACGGGUGGCAGCAGUGAGGAAUAUUGGUCAAUGGACGAGAGGCUGAACCAGCCAAGUAGCGUGAAGGAUGACUGCCCUAUGGGUUGUAAACUUCUUUUAUCAGGGAAUAAAACGAGGCACGUGUGCCUUUUUGCAUGUACUUGAUGAAUAAGCAUCGGCUAACUCCGUGCCAGCAGCCGCGGUAAUACGGAGGAUCCGAGCGUUAUCCGGAUUUAUUGGGUUUAAAGGGUGCGUAGAUGGGUUGUUAAGUCAGUGGUGAAAGUUUGCGGCUCAACCGUAAAAUUGCAGUUGAUACUGGCAGCCUUGAGUACAGUUGAGGUAAGCGGAAUGCGUGGUGUAGCGGUGAAAUGCUUAGAUAUCACGAAGAACCCCGAUUGCGAAGGCAGCUUACUAAAGUGUGACUGACAUUGAUGCUCGAAAGUGUGGGUAUCGAACAGGAUUAGAUACCCGGGUAGUC
rnacentral:rRNA from 1 species